UAGUUGCAGAUAACAGGUUUUGUUCAGCGGAAGAAAACUGGUUGUUUCUGGGACUUAGUGGUGUGUUGUGAUCAGGCAGCGGCCAGACAACCGUAGGGAUGGUAUCCACAGACGAUGGGUUUCUUUCUUCUCACUCGUCUACUGAUCCCAUCGCACAUUU